rnacentral:rRNA from 1 species
AGAGUUUGAUCCUGGCUCAGGAUGAACGCUGGCGGCGUGCUUAACACAUGCAAGUCGAACGGGCUCAUAUUGAAACCUAGUGAUGUAUGAGUUAGUGGCGGACGGGUGAGUAACGCGUGGAGAACCUGCCGUAUACUGGGGGAUAACACUUAGAAAUAGGUGCUAAUACCGCAUAAGCGCACAGCUUCGCAUGAAGCAGUGUGAAAAACUCCGGUGGUAUACGAUGGAUCCGCGUCUGAUUAGCUGGUUGGCGGGGUAACAGCCCACCAAGGCGACGAUCAGUAGCCGGCCUGAGAGGGUGAACGGCCACAUUGGGACUGAGACACGGCCCAAACUCCUACGGGAGGCAGCAGUGGGGAAUAUUGCACAAUGGGGGAAACCCUGAUGCAGCGACGCCGCGUGAGUGAAGAAGUAUUUCGGUAUGUAAAGCUCUAUCAGCAGGGAAGAAAAUGACGGUACCUGACUAAGAAGCCCCGGCUAACUACGUGCCAGCAGCCGCGGUAAUACGUAGGGGGCAAGCGUUAUCCGGAUUUACUGGGUGUAAAGGGAGCGUAGACGGCAGCGCAAGUCUGAAGUGAAAUCCCAUGGCU